rnacentral:misc_RNA from 1 species
AUGUCAUUUAAAUUAGAUUUUUAUUGAUUCAAUUAUAAUUCGAUAUAAAUUUAUUCUUAUUCAUCGAAUAUAAAAACGGAGCGGUUACAUCAGACUCACGCACACACACGCCCGGUUACAAUAAUCAAUUCUGGCCGAAAACUCGAACCGGUACGUCUCGAAAUUCGGUCGACGUACGUUAAGAGUCUCAAGAGCUUAAAGUGGGCAAUGUCGAUGGCCUUUACCAGUCUGUGCGUCUGUUGGCAGACUGGCGAUGGGGCCACCUUCUCUCUCAUCUUCCUCGUCAUCACCGUCACCUUUUCCUUCUUCUUUCCUCGUUCUUCGGCGACGGCCUGACGUAACCGAACGGCCAAGGAAGUCGCCGGGAUAACUGGACACCAUCAGUCUGCUCGGCAGUUCUUCUUUGCCGGACGUAGAGUAUUGUUGAGCAUUGAAUCACACGUUGUUGGCCGUCGCGACGUCGGUUUCUUAGCGCAGAGUGAUGUACCCACGAUAAUAAUUGAUUUGAUAAAUAUGAUCUGAAUUUAAAGAAAAAAUCCUGGGUUACGGACGACCUUUGGAAGGGUAAAAGAAAAAAAUGCGAAAUUCAUCACGAGGACUUCGAAGGUAUACGUUUUGUCUUCUGUAUUGGUCGUGUUUCGUUAGUUUAUUUACGUUAAUAAAAUGUGGAGAUUUAUGGCCAAUGGACAAACCGGAAGAUAUGCCAUCAAUUCAAUCAUUAGAAGUAAUGUGCGGAAAAGAUCACAUGGACGUUCAUUUAACAUUUUCACAUCCAUUCGAAGGGAUUGUAUCAUCAAAAGGACAACACGGUGACCCACGGUGUGUUUACGUGCCUCCAUUAACCGGGCAAUCAUCAUUUUCGUUCCGAAUCGCGUACACAAGAUGCGGAACAAAACCGGAUCUUCACGGUCAAUUUUACGAAAACACCGUUGUCGUUCAAUACGAUAAGGAUUUAUUGGAAGUAUGGGAUGAAGCGAAAAGACUGAGGUGCGAAUGGUUCAAUGAUUACGAGAAAACAGCGUCAAAACCGCCGAUGGUUAUUGCCGAUUUAGAUGUUAUCCAAUUGGAUUUUAAAGGGGAUAAUGUUGAUUGUUGGAUGGAAAUCCAACAUGGAAAAGGUCCGUGGGCUCCACCAGUAACUGGAAUAGUUCCGUUAGGAUCAACUUUAACUUUAGUUGUAGCUAUAAACGAUUAUAAAGGAGAAUUUGAUAUGCGAGUAAAGUCUUGUAUAGCAUCCGAUGGAGAUAACCACAUAAUCGAAUUAUCCGACGAUAAAGGAUGCGUUUUACGCCCGAAAAUGAUUAGCAGGUUCUUAAAAGCGCGAGGAGUCGAUGAUAGAGCCUCAAUAAUAACAUACGCUUUCUUUCACGCAUUUAAAUUUCCCGAUACUCUUAGCGUACACAUCAAGUGUAAAGUGGAAGUUUGUCGUCACGGAUGUUUAGAUCAUUGUCAAGAUCAAUUAAUAAAUGGUGUGGGAAAUGAUUUUGAGGAUCAUUUUAAUUCGAUUGAAAGAAAAGAUACGAAUAAUAAUAACAAAAAGAUUGAGGACGAUAAUAAUAAUGUGGCGUCUAUUGAUAUUGGAGCUGGUUUUCCAUCGAAUGGAAAAAGUAAUAAAAAAAAUAAUGGAAAUAAACGAUUUUCGAGUGAUGUAGGAAAUGAAAUUGCUGCACUUCCAUUUAAAGGACCAUUUCCGCAUGGACCCCGACAAUUAGAAGAACAACAAAUUGGAACACCAAGAAGUUUAUCGGAUUUAUCUGAUACAACAACAAUAAAAGAAGAUACAAUUAACGAAAAAAUUAAAUCUCGUAAAAAACGUCAUCAAAUUUUAGAUAGGAAAACGAGAAGUGCUGAUGUUGGAGUGUCCGGUAUUUACAAAGUUAUAUCCGAAGCGGAUUUAGCUUUCAGUCCCGAUGCUAAAACUGAAUCGGUUACGAUAUUUCAAGGAAAAAUUCGCGAAGAAGUUAUUUAUGGAAUUUGUAUGCCCGUUCCCGGUUUUAGUGCAUUAUUUGUUAUGAUUGCGAUUUCUGCUGCCGUUAGUACAUUAGUAGCUGUGUCUUUACUCUAUCGGUAUCAACUCCAAAAAGAAAAUUCAACAUCGGGGAGACAAAUAAUUGAAAGUCAAACUUUGCAAUUAUCGACGUUUACGAAUGUUAUGAAAUUAUUUAAACACGAUAAUAAUAAUAAGAAUGGGGUUAAUUUACAAGAUUUUAAAAAUGGGAAGGUUAAACAAGAAAUAAGUGAAAUUGAACAAUAAAAAAAUUAUUAAAUGGCUAACCUAAAAAUAUUAUUUAGCUAACUUCAUGUUUAUUAUUGACAUUAAUGACGUAAAUUAUAACCUAAAAUUAGUUUUUGGGUUAACCAUUUUUUUAUUGUUUAAUUUUGAAUAAAUCUUUUUUAAUAAUUUAAUUUUAUAGGAUUUAGGUGAAAAUGUGGGCAAAAAUGCAAUAAUGAAGAUGACAAUAAUUUUAGAUUAAACUCGGGAUAUGGUAGAAAUAAGAAGAAAAUCUUGGUCUUUAUCUUUUCCGCAUCUCCAGUUCCUAAUUCUUGUUGUAAAUAGAAAUUUUACGCAAAAAAAAGAUUAUUUCAAUUUCUCUUUUUAUUUUUAAUUUUUUCGUUGUUUAAUUUCGAAAACUUUCAUUUAAGACUUGUACAUAUUGUACUUUUUUGUAUAGUAUUACUUGUAUUUUGUAUUUUUGCUUAAGUUUUUUUUUGUUAAUUAAAAAGAGUUAAAAGACAUUACACCUCAUUGUUUAAAGUUUAAGAUGUUUAAAUUAAAAGAUAUUUUUAUUAAAAUGUAUUAGAUUAGAGUAGGUUGUAAGAUUUUUAUGAGAUAACGUGGAUUUAAAGUUAAUCUGCUUAAUUUUUUUUAUAAAAAAACAUAUCACAGUA